UUCCUACGGGAGGCAGCAGUGGGGAAUAUUGCACAAUGGGCGAAAGCCUGAUGCAGCGACGCCGCGUGAGGGAUGACGGCCUUCGGGUUGUAAACCUCUUUCAGCAGGGAAGAAGCGAAAGUGACGGUACCUGCAGAAGAAGCACCGGCUAACUACGUGCCAGCAGCCGCGGUAAUACGUAGGGUGCGAGCGUUGUCCGGAAUUAUUGGGCGUAAAGAGCUUGUAGGCGGUUUGUCGCGUCUGCUGUGAAAAUCCGGGGCUCAACCCCGGACUUGCAGUGGGUACGGGCAGACUAGAGUAUGGUAGGGGAGACUGGAAUUCCUGGUGUAGCGGUGAAAUGCGCAGAUAUCAGGAGGAGCACCGAUGGCGAAGGCAGGUCUCUGGGCCACUACUGACGCUGAGAAGCGAAAGCAUGGGGAGCGAACAGGAUUAGAUACCCUGGUAGUCCAUGCCGUAAACGUUGGGCGCUAGGUGUGGGACUCAUUCCACGAGUUCCGUGCCGCAGCUAACGCAUUAAGCGCCCCGCCUGGGGAGUACGGCCGCAAGGCUAAAACUCAAAGGAAUUGACGGGGGCCCGCACAAGCGGCGGAGCAUGCGGAUUAAUUCGAUGCAACGCGAAGAACCUUACCAAGGCUUGACAUAUACCGGAAACACCUAGAGAUAGGCGCCCCUUUUGGUCGGUAUACAGGUGGUGCAUGGUUGUCGUCAGCUC
rnacentral:rRNA from 1 species